rnacentral:rRNA from 1 species
AGAGUUUGAUCAUGGCUCAGGAUGAACGCUAGCUACAGGCUUAACACAUGCAAGUCGAGGGGAAACGAUAUUGGAAGCUUGCUUCCGAUAGGCGUCGACCGGCGCACGGGUGAGUAACGCGUAUCCAACCUGCCCACCACUUGGGGAUAACCUUGCGAAAGUAAGACUAAUACCCAAUGAUACCUCUAGAAGACAUCUGAAAAGAGAUUAAAGAUUUAUCGGUGAUGGAUGGGGAUGCGUCUGAUUAGCUUGUUGGCGGGGUAACGGCCACCAAGGCUACGAUCAGUAGGGGUUCUGAGAGGAAGGUCCCCCACAUUGGAACUGAGACACGGUCCAAACUCCUACGAGAGGCA